rnacentral:rRNA from 4 species
AGACCCGAAACCCGGUGAUCUAGCCAUGGGCAGGUUGAAGGUUGGGUAACACUAACUGGAGGACCGAACCGACUAAUGUUGAAAAAUUAGCGGAUGACCUGUGGCUGGGGGUGAAAGGCCAAUCAAACCGGGAGAUAGCUGGUUCUCCCCGAAAGCUAUUUAGGUAGCGCCUCGUGAAUUCAUCUCCGGGGGUAGAGCACUGUUUCGGCUAGGGGGCCAUCCCGGCUUACCAACCCGAUGCAAACUGCGAAUACCGGAGAAUGUUAUCACGGGAGACACACGGCGGGUGCUAACGUCCGUCGUGAAGAGGGAAACAACCCAGACCGCCAGCUAAGGUCCCAAAGUCAUGGUUAAGUGGGAAACGAUGUGGGAAGGCCCAGACAGCCAGGAUGUUGGCUUAGAAGCAGCCAUCAUUUAAAGAAAGCGUAAUAGCUCACUGGUCGAGUCGGCCUGCGCGGAAGAUGUAACGGGGCUAAACCAUGCACCGAAGCUGCGGCAGCGAACGUAUCACUUAAAGCG